CAAAAAAUAAAAUAAAUUAAAUUAAAAACUUUUAUCAAACAGCUGGGCCUCCCAUCUUCCUCUUCCUCUGUUUUCUGCAUGCUGUAAUAUAGCACGGCCAGCAGGGAAGAAACCGGCAGGCACCGGCACCGGCAACGUCACCGGCAGGGAAGUGUUUGGUGAAAUCAGAAACUCAAUCGUUAGAUUUAGAGUAAUAAUAAUAAUUCUUCGCUUAGUAUUUAACGGGAAGACAAUUGUGGUUAUCGGGUUUAAUUCCUUCAAUAAAUUACAAUAAUCAUGGCGGCUGCCGUGGUAGCAAAUGGGAAGAAGAAAUUAGAACAAAGAGGGCCUAAAAUUGGGGUUAUUAGUGGUCCGACCAAUCCAAUGGUGACACCUCUUUUAACAGAUCUUUAUCAGUUUACAAUGGCUUAUGCUUAUUGGAAAGCUGGAAAACACAAUGAACGAGCUGUGUUUGACUUGUAUUUCCGUAAGAAUCCAUUUGGUGGUGAAUAUACAAUAUUUUCUGGGUUAGAAGAAUGCAUAAAGCUUAUUGCUCAUUACAAAUUAACUGAGGAUGAGAUAGCUUUUAUCAGGAAAUCAUUGCCCCCGUCGUGUGAGGAUGCCUUCUAUAACUACCUUCGAGGAAUUGACUGUUCAGAUGUUGAGAUAUUUUCUAUACCUGAAGGUUCAGUUGUCUUUCCCAAGGUGCCGCUGAUGAGGAUUGAAGGGUCCAUUGCUGUGGUUCAAUUACUAGAAACUGCACUUGUCAAUCUCAUAAACUAUGCAUCGCUAGUCACUACUAAUGCAGCAAGACAUCGUUUUGUUGCGGGAAAGUCCAAGCUGCUGCUGGAAUUUGGGCUUCGAAGAGCACAGGGUCCAGAUGGUGGUAUAUCAGCUUCGAAAUAUUGCUAUAUGGGAGGAUUUGAUGCAACAAGCAAUGUGGCAGCUGGGAAGUUAUUUGGGAUCCCGCUCCGUGGAACACAUUCCCAUGCCUUCGUUAGCUCAUUUAUGAGCCUAGAUGAGAUCACUGAGAGAUCACUUACACACCUUGAUAGUCCCAAGGUUUGUAAGGAUUUUGUUUGUCUAGUGAUGACGUGGCUUACUAAAUUAAAGCGGUCAUCCUUAUUAGGUGGAAUUUUCAAUGAGACAAACCAAAGUGAAUUAGCAGCUUUCGCCUCAUAUGGGCUCGCCUUUCCUGGAAGCUUUUUGGCCCUUGUCGAUACUUAUGAUGUCAUGAGAAGUGGUGUUCCAAAUUUUUGUGCAGUUGCUCUUGCACUUAAUGAUUUGGGGUAUAGAGCAGUUGGCGUUAGAUUAGAUUCUGGUGAUCUUGCUUAUCAGUCAUGCGAAGCCAGGAAAUUCUUUCAAACUAUUGAAAAAGAGUUUGGAGUGCCUGGUUUUGGAAAGAUGAACAUCACAGCUAGCAAUGACCUUAAUGAGGAAACAUUGGAUGCGCUAAAGAAACAGGGACACGAGGUUGAUUCUUUUGGUAUUGGAACACAUUUGGUUACCUGUUACGCACAGCCCGCUCUAGGUGUUGUUUUCAAGUUGGUUGAGAUAAAUAAUCAACCUAGGAUCAAGCUUUCUGAAGAUGUUACAAAGGUCUCCAUUCCAUGUAAAAAACGGUGUUUCAGAUUGUAUGGGAAGGAAGGCUACCCCCUUGUUGACAUAAUGACCGGUGAAAAUGAACCACCUCCUAAGGUAGGUGAACGAAUUUUGUGUCGUCAUCCGUUUACUGAAUCUAAAAGGGCAUAUGUUGUUCCCCAACGUGUUGAGGAGCUUUUAAAGUGUUUUUGGCCUGGAAGUUCAGAUAAAAUACGAGAAGAUUUGCCUCCAUUGAAGGACAUAAGGGAACGGUGUAUUGAACAACUGGAGCAGAUGCGGCCAGAUCACAUGAGAAGACUGAACCCAACACCAUACAAGGUUAGUGUGAGCGCAAAGUUGUAUGAUUUCAUCCAUUUCCUCUGGCUCAACGAAGCCCCGGUUGGGGAGUUGCAAUGAUCGAUCAAAUGAAGGAAUAUAAUUUUUGGAAGAUUCUUUUUGCGCAGCAUAGUUGGUUCGAAAAGGAUCUUCUAAUAACAUAUUGCCUCAAGGCUAUCCAUUCACCAACUUCAAUGCUUUGAUCAAGUGUUCACAAUGAUGGAGGUUGUUGGGCAUGUAUGGAUGCCAAGAAGGGAGUUCCAUGCCUUGCAUCGUCACAUAUGCACCUUGAAGGAGCUCCCAGUUGGAGAACACCAUGCUUGGAUGAUAGUUGAAGCGUGGGAGGCCUAAUGAAGCAAGGAGGAUCAAGUGAAGAAUGUGCUCCAUUCGGCAAGCUGAAGAUCACUUCGGCGACUCACCAAAACCCUUUGGCGAGGGUUCCAGGAUCGCCAACUGAUCCAAUGAGCUACAAGAGAAGGCUGCCCAUUCGGCGAGCAUGGAGGACAUUCGGUGUAUCUCCCAUUGACUCCCAGACCACCGAAAGUUGCAGUAGCUAUCAAAAGAGGGAGCCAAGGUGAAGUGCACAUCACCGACUGGUCGGCGACUCGCCAAGAGAAUUGGGCGAGCCCAACUUAGCUCACCCAUUGGUCCAUUUUGGGUCACUUUUGGGCCCAUCUAUGUAAUAAUGCUCUAAACUAUAAAUAGGUGUCUUAGGGUUCAUUUUAGUCAGACUG